rnacentral:rRNA from 1 species
CCUACGGGUGGCAGCAGUGAGGAAUAUUGGUCAAUGGACGCAAGUCUGAACCAGCCAAGUAGCGUGCAGGAUGACGGCCCUCCGGGUUGUAAACUGCUUUUAGUUGGGAAUAAAAGGGGGCUCGGGAGCCCCGUAUUGUAUGUACCAUCAGAAAAAGGACCGGCUAAUUCCGUGCCAGCAGGCGCGGUAAUAAGGAGGGUCCGGGCGGGAUCCGGAUUUAUUGGGAUUGAGGGGAGCGUAGGCCGGCUUUUAAGUAAGCUGUGAAAGUCGGCGGAUCAACGGGGGAAGUGCAGGUGAAACUGGAGGCCUUGAGGGAACACAGGGAUGCCGGAAUUCAUGGUGUAGCGGGGAUAUGCUUAGAGAUCAUGAAGAGCUCCGAUCGCGAGGGCAAGUGUCCGGGGUGCAACUGACGCUGAGGCGCGAAAGUGCGGGUAUCAAACAGGAUGAGAUACCCCUGUAGUC